CUGUGGGAGCGACCCGGGAGAAGGAGGGCCAAGAUGGCGGAAGCGGAGGAGUCUCCAGGAGACCCGGGGACAGCAUCGCCCAGGCCCCUGGUGAGCUUGGGAUCUGCGACAAAAGGGACCGAGGUUUGCAGGCCUUUCAGAUAUAUCCAUCUCACAAGACAUCCCCGUAGAAGGAGAAAUCACCAUUCCUAUGAGAUCUCGCAUCCGGGAGUUUGACAGCUCCACAUUAAAUGAAUCUGUUCGCAAUACCAUCAUGCGUGAUCUAAAAGCUGUUGGGAAAAAAUUCAUGCAUGUUUUGUACCCAAGGAAAAGUAAUACUCUUUUGAGAGAUUGUAAGUAUAUGAGGUUUUUAAGGGUUUGCUUAAUCUAUCUCACUGUACCUUAUCGUAAGUACUUUAUAAGGCAAAGUCUCUGUGGUAAUAAAACUGACAUCAUUUUGUAGGAUAAAAAAAUAUGUAAACGAAUAUGUAAAUCAAACUUCUGGCAGAAAUUAAAAAUUGAUUUUAUUUUAUUUUUAUUUUCAUUUUUUUUUGAGACAGAGUCUCACUCUGACUUCCAGGCUGGAGUGCAAUGGUAUGAUCUUGGCUCACUGCAACCUCCGCCUCCUGUGUUCAAGUAAUUUUCAUGCCUCAGCCUCCUGAGUAGCUGGGAUUAAAGGCGCCCACCACCAUGCCCAGCUAAUUUUUUUGUAUUUUUAGUAGAGACGGAUUUCACCAGGUUGGCCAGGCUGGUUUCCAACUCCCGAUCUCAGGUGAUCCACCCACCUCGGCCUCCCAAAGUGCUAGGAUUACAGGCAGACAUUAAAAAUUUAGAUUGGAAUCUCAGAGAUUGAAACAUUUUGCUUAUUAUAUUGUCCUCAUCAGUAAAUGUACACUGGCCAGGCAUGGUGGCUCAUACAUGUAAUACCAGCACUUUGGGAGGCCGAGGCAGGAGAAUUGUUUGAACUCAGGAGUUUGAGACCAGCCUGGGCAACAUGGCGAGACCUCAUUUCUACUAAAAAUAAAAAAACUAGCCAGGCCUGGUAGCACAAGCCUGUAGUCCUAGCUACUUGGGAGGCUGAGGUGGGAGGAUUGCUUGAGUCCAGGAGAUCAAGGCUGUAGUGCCGUGACUGUGCCACUGCACCCUAGCCUGGGUGACAGAGUGAGACCUGUCUCAAAAAAAAAAAAAUAUAUAUAUAUAUAUAUAUAUAUUUUAAAAAAUGCUCUAGUGGUUACUACAAAAUACAUUUCUGGAGGCUGCUAAUUUACAAUAUUUACAUUUAUUACAUAAUAUUCCUGGAAGCUGCUGACACAUAAAGAGUUAAUGAUCUCCAAGGGAAAGGCAAAUGUUUAAAUUUUUGUUUGUUAGUUUUUUGAGAUGGAGUCUCGCUCUGUUGCCCAGGCUGGAGUGCAAUGGCACAAUCUCAGCUUACUGCAACCUCUGCCUCCAGGGUUCAGGAGAUUCUUCUGCCUCAGCCUCUGGAACAGCUGGGAUUACAGGUGCCCCACCACCACAUCCAGCUAAUUUUUGUGUUGUUAGUAGAGACGGGUUUUGCCAUGUUGGCCAGGCUGGUCUCGAACUGCUGACCUGAAGUGAUCCACCUGCCUUGGCCUCCCAGAGUGCUGGGAUUACAGGCAAGAGCCACCACCCCGGCCUAAAUGUUAAAUUAAUAUGAUAGUAAAUACCCGUAAACAUUUAACAAAUUAAUAGUACCUUUAUUGACAGUUUGAUUUUCAAGCCUAUCAUUUAGUCUGAUGACUGCUUUCUUUAUUAGAGUUCUGUCAAAACAGACAGCGUCUCAUUCUGUUACCCAGGCUCAAAUGCAAUGGCGUAAUCAUAGCUCACUGCAGUCUCAAACUCCUGGGCUCAAGCAGUCCUUCUGCCAGUCUCCUGAGUAGCUGGGACUGUAGGCACACAUGGCUAGUUUUUAAAUAUUUUGUAGAGAUGGGGGUCUCCCUAUGUUGCCCAGGCUUGUCUAAAACUCCUGGCCUUGGCCGGGCGCGGUGGCUCACGCCUGUAAUCCCAGCACUUUGGGAGGCCGAGGCGGGCGGAUCACGAGGUCAGGAGAUCGAGACCAUCCUGGCUAACACGGUGAAACCCCGUCUCUACUAAAAAUACAAAAAAUUAGCCGGGCGUGGUGGUGGGCGCCUGUAAUCCCAGCUACUCGGGAGGCUGAGGCAGGAGAAUGGCAUGAACCCAAGAGGCGGAGCUUGCAGUGAGCCGGGAUAGCGCCACUGCAGUCCAGCUUGGGCGAAAGAGUGAGACUCCGUCUCAAAAAAAAAAAAAAU
rnacentral:lncRNA from 10 species